GUGCUCACUUUGUCAGCACAAAUACCAAAAUUGAAGCAAUACAGAGGAAGUAAGCAUGACCCCUGCACAAGGAUGACAUGCAAAUUCUGAAGCAUUCCAUACUUUU